GGAUGUGAGGGAGAUCUGGCUGCGACAUCUGUCACCCCAUUGAUCGCCAGGGUUGAUUCGCCUGAUCUGGCUGGCUAGGCGGGUGUCCCCUUCCUCCCUCACAGCUCCAUGUGCGUCCCUCCCGAAGCUGCGCGCUCUGUCGAAGAGGACGACCUUCCCUGCUAGAGGAGGACCGGUCUUCGGAUAAGGGUAUACGAGUAGCUGCACUCCCCUGGUAGAACCUCCAAACAAGCUCUCAAGAAAUGAAAGAAUAUAUUUCCCUGUAGCUUCCACUAAAUAUAUCCCCAAUUACAUUCUCCUAUUUCCUUGGGCCCCUACACCCAUGUGGGAGACCCAGAAG
rnacentral:snRNA from 1 species